GGUUGUGGCUCAAUGGUAGAGCACUUGCCUAGCAUGUGUGAGGCACUGGGUUCAAGUCUCAGCACCA
rnacentral:tRNA from 1 species